rnacentral:lncRNA from 1 species
GCCUUUCGUCCUCCCGAGUCUCUUGUCUCGUGUCCGAUCCGCCUCCUGGAGCUCCACCUCGCUCUGGGCUCCACCUGGCUCCCGAAGCUCCACCUCGCACUAGGCUCCCUGCCAGAUAAUAAUGUCCUCUGCUCCCCUUCUUCCCCUCCAGCACAAUCCUAUCAUCGCGUAGCACCCUCAGGAUUCCUCCACCAGCUACCGUCCUGUAGCCUCUCGAAUCCAGUCUGCUAAGUGAGAUAAGAUUUUGCCUG